rnacentral:rRNA from 1 species
AGAGGAUGAAGGUUAUUUAGUUAAUUAGUUACACUGUUUGUUUAAAAUAAAUCUGCAAAGAUCUUUGUAUUCAGUUGUUUAAAACAAAAAUUUAUUUUUGUUUUAUUCAGAUAGACUUAAAGGGUGAGAGCUUUAUACUUUUUUUUAAUAUGUUACAAUUACUUCUAAUUAUAGGAAGUAAUUAUAAUAUUUAUAGUGUUUAUUUAUUAAAUACUAUAAAUAAUAAAAAGGUAACCCUUUUCAGAAUAACACUCUAAAAAGGGAAAACAUCAUUGAUGUUAUUAGUCUAUAUAUUAAUUACUCAAUAAUAUGGGUAAGCAGUGUAUCGUCGAUUUUAUUGAGUAAAAUUCUAGAUAGUGAUAAUAUGAUUAUGACAAAAAACUAUUUAUAAGUCUUGACCAAAAUACAUGCCAGCAGUCGCGGUAAGAUGUAAAAGACUAGUGUUAUUCAUCUUUAAUAGGUUUAAAGGGUACCUAGACGGUUUAUUUAGUCUUUAACAGGAUACAAAUAAUCUAGAGUUAUACGUAAGGAGGUGAGUAUUUAUGGAGUAAAGUUGAAAUUUGUUGAUACCAUAAGGACUGGUAAAGGCGAAAGCAACCUUUUAUCUAAUAACUGACGUUGAGGGACGAAGGCUUGGGUAACGAACAGGAUUAGAUACCCUAGUAGUCCUUGCAGACAAUUAUGAAUGCCAUAGGUUAGAUAAUAAUUUAGUCUAUAAAUGAAAGUGUAAGCAUUUCACCUCAAGAGUAAUGUGGCAACGCAGGAACUGAAAUCAUUAGACCGUUUCUGAAACCAGUAGUGAAGUAUGUUAUUUAAUUCGUAGGUACGCGAAAAACCUUACCACAACUUGAAUAUUAUCAACUAUGAUAUUACAAGUGUUGCAUGGCUGUCUGCAGUUAAUGUCGUGAGAUUUGGAUAGCUCCUUAAAUUAACGGAAGCCCUUACUUUAGUUGAAAAUCACAAUAAAGUAGUACAGGAAUCUAUAAUGGAAAGCUGUGAAACAGGGACUAAUA